ACGGGAGGCAGCAGUGGGGGAUAUUGCGCAAUGGAGGCAACUCUGACGCAGCAACGCCGUGUGCAGGAUGACGGCCUUCGGGUUGUAAACUGCUUUCAGUAGGGAAGAAAUAAUUGACGGUACCUACACAAGAAGCUCCGGCUAACUACGUGCCAGCAGCCGCGGUAACACGUAGGGAGCAAGCGUUAUCCGGAUUCAUUGGGCGUAAAGCGCGCGCAGGCGGGUAUUUAAGCGGGACUUUUAACCCGAGGGCUCAACCCCCGGUCGGGUUCCGAACUGGAUACCUUGAGUGCGGUAGAGGCAGGCGGAAUUCCAUGUGUAGCGGUGAAAUGCGCAGAUAUAUGGAAGAACACCGAUGGCGAAGGCAGCCUGCUGGGCCGACACUUACGCUCAGGUGCUAAAGCUAGGGGAGCAAACAGGAUUAGAUACCCUGGUA
rnacentral:rRNA from 1 species